rnacentral:rRNA from 1 species
AGAGUUUGAUCCUGGCUCAGGAUGAACGCUGGCGGCGUGCCUAAUACAUGCAAGUCGAACGGGGAUGCAGCAAUGUAUCCUAGUGGCGACCGGGUGCGUAACACGUAGCUGACCUGCCCCUCAGCGGGGGACAACAGGACGAAAGUCCUGCUAAUACCGCAUACAUUUCCGUUUAUUAGAAGGACGGAAAGAAACUUAUGGGGCUGAGGGAGGGAGCUGCGGCCCAUCAGGUAGUUGGUGAGGUAGAAGCUCACCAAGCCGACGACGGGUAGGGGGCCUGAGAGGGUGGUCCCCCACACUGGGACUGACACACGGCCCAGACUCCUACGGGAGGCAGCAGUAAGGGAUAUUGCGCAAUGGGCGAAAGCCUGACGCAGCAACGCCGCGUGAAGGAUGAAGGCCUUCGGGUCGUAAACUUCUUUUCUCGCUGACGAGCAAGGACGGUAGGCGAGGAAUCAGUCACGGCUAACUACGUGCCAGCAGCCGCGGUAAAACGUAGGUGGCGAGCGUUAUCCGGAUUUACUGGGCGUAAAGCGUGUGCAGGCGGGGCUACAAGUGGUGUAUGAAAUCGCUCGGCUAAACCGGGCGGGGUUAUGCCAGACUGUAGCUCUUGAGUGCGAGAGAGGGGCAUGGAAUUCCGGGUGUAGUGGUGAAAUGCGUAGAGAUCCGGAGGAACCCCAGAGGCGAAGGCGGUGCCCUGGCUCGCAACUGACGCUCAGACACGACAGCAUGGGGAGCGAACGGGAUUAGAAACCCCGGUAGUCCAUGCCGUAAACGAUGCAAACUAGGCGCUGACGGUCUCAACCCCGCCGGUGCCGCAGCUAACGCGAUAAGUUUGCCGCCUGGGGAGUACGGCCGCAAGGCUAAAACUCAAAGGAAUUGACGG